CCUACGGGUGGCAGCAGUGAGGAAUAUUGGUCAAUGGACGAGAGUCUGAACCAGCCAAGUAGCGUGAAGGAUGACUGUCCUAAGGGUUGUAAACUUCUUUUAUAAAGGAAUAAAACGAGGCACGUGUGCCUUUUUGCGUGUACUUUAUGAAUAAGGAUCGGCUAACUCCGUGCCAGCAGCCGCGGUAAUACGGAGGAUCCGAGCGUUCUCCGGAUUUAUUGGGUUUAAAGGGAGCGUAGAUGGGUUGUUAAGUCAGUUGUGAAAGUUUGCGGCUCAACCGUAAAAUUGCAAUUGAUACUGGCAGUCUUGAGUACAGUUGAGGUAGGCGGAAUUCGUGGUGUAGCGGUGAAAUGCUUAGAUAUCACGAAGAACCCCGAUUGCGAAGGCAGCUUACUAAACUGUGACUGACAUUGAUGCUCGAAAGUGUGGGGAUCAAACAGGAUUAGAUACCCGGGUAGUC
rnacentral:rRNA from 1 species